AUUGAACGCUGGCGGCAGGCCUAACACAUGCAAGUCGAGCGGAGCGGCGGACGGGUGAGUAAUGUCUGGGAAACUGCCUGAUGGAGGGGGAUAACUACUGGAUACGGUAGCUAAUACCGCAUACUAUCAGAUGAGCCUAGGUCGGAUUAGCUAGUUGGUGGGGUAAAGGCCUACCAAGGCGACGAUCCGUAACUGGUCUGAGAGGAUGAACAGUAACACUGGAACGGAGACGCGGUCCAGACUCCUACGGUAGGCAGCAGGGGGUAAGAUUGGACAAUGGGCGAAAGCCUGAUCCAGCCAUGCCGCGUGUGUGAAGAAGGUCUUCGGAUUGGAAAGCACUUUAAGUUGGGAGGCGUUACCAACAGAAUAAGCACCGGCUAACUUCGUGCCAGCAGCCGCGGUAAUUC
rnacentral:rRNA from 1 species